UUCUCAACCCCGACGACACGCCUUAACUUGUCUCGUAAUCAGCCAACAAGCGAGGAGGGCACCGCUCCCUCUGUGACCGCCGUGGGACUUCAGGACUGGCCUCAGUUCCUGGCAUGUUCCUGCCGGCUUCGUCCUCUUGUCCAUUACUGUUGGCCCCAUCCUCCGUCGCAGCGAUGAUCCUGCGCACAACCAAAACAUGUCGUGGCAUGCCAUCUACGGAUACGUUGUUCCUCGAAUUCACAGAGGUUAUUGUCACCUUUCCCCACUGUGAUGUGCACCGCGCAUUUGGGGGGUAACCUUCCAGUC